rnacentral:rRNA from 1 species
GAUGAACGCUGGCGGCGUGCUUAACACAUGCAAGUCGAACGGGAAUCACUUCAUUGAGACUUCGGUGGAUUUGAUUUGAUUCUAGUGGCGGACGGGUGAGUAACGCGUGGGUAACCUGCCUUAUACAGGGGGAUAACAGUCAGAAAUGACUGCUAAUACCGCGUAAGCGCACAGGACCGCAUGGUCCGGUGCGAAAAACUCCGGUGGUAUAAGAUGGACCCGCGUUGGAUUAGCUUGUUGGUGGGGUAACGGCCCACCAAGGCGACGAUCCAUAGCCGGCCUGAGAGGGUGAACGGCCACAUUGGGACUGAGACACGGCCCAGACUCCUACGGGAGGCAGCAGUGGGGAAUAUUGCACAAUGGGGGAAACCCUGAUGCAGCGACGCCGCGUGAAGGAAGAAGUAUCUCGGUAUGUAAACUUCUAUCAGCAGGGAAGAUAGUGACGGUACCUGACUAAGAAGCCCCGGCUAACUACGUGCCAGCCGCCGCCGUAACAC